rnacentral:rRNA from 1 species
UACGGAGGGUGCGAGCGUUGUCCGGAAUCAUUGGGCGUAAAGGGCGCGUAGGUGGCGGGACAAGCGUGCGGUGAAAGCCUGGGGCUCAACCCCGGGUCGGCCGUGCGAACUGUUUUGCUUGAGCACUGUAGAGGCAGGUGGAAUUCCGGGUGUAGCGGUGGAAUGCGUAGAGAUCCGGAAGAACACCGGUGGCGAAGGCGGCCUGCUGGGCAGUAGCUGACGCUGAGGCGCGACAGCGUGGGGAGCAAACAGG